rnacentral:rRNA from 2 species
CAACAGUACGUGAAACCGCAUAGAGGUAAACGGGUGGAUCCGCAAAGUCGGCCCGCGGAAUUCAGCUCGGAAGGCUGCGCGCCUGCCGCCGGGUAGGAGAUCGCAAGACUCUCCCGGCGCGGGACGCGUGUCGGCCGUGUGCACUUUCCGUGGGCAGAGCGCCACGACCGGUUUCCGGGCGGUCAGAAGGCGGCGAGGAUGGUAGGCGCGCGCCUCGGCGCGCGCUGGUAUAGCCUCGCCUGUCCCGAUCCGCCUGGGGACCGAGGAGCCGCCGUGGGCUGGGGCCGCCUCGCCCUCCCGGGACGUUCGACUGGCAGAGACUGGGUGACCGUGUCUGCCGACCGCUUCCUGGGACGGACUGGGGUGGGCCCGCCCUCACAGGGUCAGUGGCGAAUCGGUCGGCCCUCCACCCGACCCGUCUUGAAACACGGACCAAGGAGUCUAACAUGCGCGCGAGUCGUUGGGUCGUACGAAACCCGAAGGCGAAGUGAAAGCGAGGGCCGUCUCUGACGUGCUCAGGUGGGAUCCCGGUCCCUCCGCGGGCUGGGCGCACCACCGGCCCGUCUCGUCCGCGUUGU